rnacentral:rRNA from 1 species
GAUGAACGCUAGCUACAGGCUUAACACAUGCAAGUCGAGGGGAAACGACAUCGAAAGCUUGCUUUUGAUGGGCGUCGACCGGCGCACGGGUGAGUAACGCGUAUCCAAUCUGCCCACCACUUGGGGAUAACCUUGCGAAAGUAAGACUAAUACCCAAUGAUAUCCCUAGAAGACAUCUGAAAGAGAUGAAAGAUUUAUCGGUUAUGGAUGGGCAUGCGUCUGAUUAGCUUGUUGGCGGGGUAACGGCCCACCAAGGCAACGAUCAGUAGGGGUUCUGAGAGGAAGGUCCCCCACAUUGGAACUGCGACACGGUCCACACUCCUACGGGAGGCAGCAGUGAGGAAUAUUGGUCAAGGGACGAGAGUCUGAACCAGCCAAGUAGCGUGCAGGAAUACGGCCCUAUGGGUUGUAAACUGCUUUUAUAAGGGAAUAAAGUGAGUCUCGUGAGACUUUUUGCAUGUACCUUAUGAAUAAGGACCGGCUAAUUCCGUG